AGUGAACGCUGGCGGUAGGCCUAGCACAUGCAAGUCGAACGGCAGCACAGUAAGAGCUUGCUCUUACGGGUGGCGAGUGGCGGACGGGUGAGGAAUACAUCGGAAUCUACUUUUUCGUGGGGGAUAACGUAGGGAAACUUACGCUAAUACCGCAUACGACCUACGGGUGAAAGCAGGGGAUCUUCGGACCUUGCGCGAUUGAAUGAGCCGAUGUCGGAUUAGCUAGUUGGCGGGGUAAAGGCCCACCAAGGCGACGAUCCGUAGCUGGUCUGAGAGGAUGAUCAGCCACACUGGAACUGAGACUCGGUCCAGACUCCUACGGGAGGCAGCAGUGGGGAAUAUUGGACAAUGGGCGCAAGCCUGAUCCAGCCAUACCGCGUGGGUGAAGAAGGCCUUCGGGUUGUAAAGCCCUUUUGUUGGGAAAGAAAAGCAGCAGGUUAAUACCCCGCUGUUCUGACGGUACCCAAAGAAUAAGCACCGGCUAACUUCGUG
rnacentral:rRNA from 1 species